UUGACAUACCCUGAGGUUCUUCAAAAUGAUUGUCCCUUUGAGUGCUUCUCUUCAUGUGUCUUGGUGCCUUGAGCUCAUUGUCAGAGAUUUGUAGCAGCAGUAUCCUGAGAGAUGGCACAUGACCAGCUUCUCAUGCUGCUACAACCAGCUAGCUGGUACUCAUCUCCAACCACCCCUCCGUUCCUUUUCUACCACAGAAAAAUAGUGUGUGACUCCAAAACAGAGGGAAGGGGAAUAGUGGAGCUCCUCACAGGGACAACCUUUUCAAAGACCCUCAGUCACUGCACAAAGUGAGUAACCCUGUCGUCUUUGAGAUGUCCCUGUUGGUGCUCCACUUUAGAUAGCUAUGGAGCAGUGCCUCCAUAUAUAAGGAGGGACUCUGGAAUUUAUCAUUCAACAGUAGGGAGUACAGAAUGGCUGAACUGUAUCUGCUAAGUACUAUUUUUCUAGGGCAUAGUUUUUUGGUGAAUGUUUGCACUGAAGCCCAUGAAACUGUCUAUGAUUGGAAUGUUGUGGAGAAAUGACAGAAAGGUAUAUACCGCUUUGGUGGAAUGAAUGUGCACAAAGGGAGGAGCUGGAAUUUUGUUCCGAUUGUAGCAAAGAUGGGCACAUAGCAAUAUCCACUUGGAUAAUCUAUGAUUUGCAAUGGGAUCUCCUUUGGAAUGUUCAGUGGUGGAGAGGAUAAGGUGAGGUGAUUUUUAAAUGGUUCUGUCCUUUCAAAGUAAAAGCAAGGGCUCAGGGGAUAUUGAGGGUUUGUAGGGAGGAGUUGUUGGCCUCAGGUAAAAGCUAGGUAAGUAUGUAAACUGAUUCAAGUGAAAAAAAUACAACUUUGGGAGAAAUUUCUGAUUGUGGUCUGAGGAUAACUAUCUUUUUGGAAAAUUAUAUAUGGUGACUCAGCCACUAAAGUGGCUAUUUUACUCACCCUCCUGGCAGUGGUAAUUGCAAUGAAGAAGGAGCAUAUUGUUUGAAGUUCAAAAGGCCUGCCACCUUUGAGUGUGCAGAGGACCAAAGGUCCCAUAGCAGAAUAGGUUGUUUUAGUGUGAGUGGGGGAAGGAAGGGAGAUAUUAUUCAGCUUUUUUAAGAAGUGAUGAUGGGCGAUCAUUCGUUGCUGAUUACGAUCAUCUUCCAGGGGAAUUGUGGAUCAAGUGGCUGAUAAGGCCAAUCCUUGAACCACACGUUCAAAAAAAUCUGCAAGACGACUGAAUCACACACCCACUGCCUAUGUGUUGGUCUAUGACUAAGAAUUCCUGUAUAUCACUUUUCCCAUUGCUAUUUGCCAUCACACUUUUGACUUGUGUAAGUGUUGUUUUCCCAGAAACUAGAAGAUGCCUAUGCAAGACUUCUUUUAAAGUGGGGAGACUGGUGUACAACAGUAACCACACUGUCCUUGGCAGAUAGAGGGCUUGAAACGAAUAGCAUGGACACCAUGACAAUUGGAGAUCCUCUAUCUGCUACAGCCUUCACAGCCAUUGUAACAUUACAUAACAGUUUCACAUCCAUUGUGCAGUUAUCCUCUAUCUGUUCUGCCAUUCAGGAUUUCUUGGAUCACACUUUGUCUGGAACCUCGCCCUAGGUCUUCCUCCCAUCCUGUACCUGACUCCGACUCCACGCAGUGUUGCUCUCGGCCAUCACUGGAACAUGUAAAAGACUAAUACCCUGCGGACAUUCAGAAUAUACAGUGCUGCCUGCUUGCUAUCCUCAUGUGGUUUUGGGAAGAACACAGACAGGAAUGCAGUCUAGAUGAGCCCUAAUUGAUAGUCCGGUGUCCUGCAAGUGAGUGAUAAAUUCUAGUAUGUCCAAAAUCCCUGCCUUGUGUGGAUCCUGUGCUCAAGCCAAAUUCCAGGCCACAAAUCUGGCCCACUUCUGCAGGUAAGUUCAUCUCAUAGUGGAUCUCCUGGAAUUAAUUAGGAUAUCUCUGAGCCUUUGAGACAGGGUUAGCUCUUUGUGUGAGAGCCAACAAGCAUCCAGGCUAACAGGUUUAGUGUAUGUAGCCCGGGUGUGAUUUACACCCCCAUCCUGAGUCAAGAGAGCUCGUAGCAGGGGAAACUUGUACUGCUGACGUGUAUUGAGUUGGAGUAUGGUAGGGUAUCAAAUUUGUCUUGGUCAAUUAGAGGCUAUGAGUAUGACCCUGGCUGCCUCCAGUUUGACCUUUAUUACCGUUUGAUGUAUUAGAGGUAUAAGUGGAAAUGCACAUGCCAGUGGGAAGUCCCAGUGUUUUGCAAAUGCAUCUCCGAGAGAUUGCGGUCCAAUACCUGCCUUGGGACACUACCGGGAGCACUUGGAAUUGAUGUGUGUUACAAACAAGUCUACAACUGGGUAUCCCCAUCUCCUGAAAAGGUUAUUUAUGAUACAUUUCUUGAUCUCCCAUUCGUGGUUCUGUGGGAAUUGUCUGCUGAGGCCAUCUGCUAGUACAUUGUUCUUGCCAGGCAAAUGUAUAGCAGUUGGUGUGAUGUUGCAUAUAAUAUACCAAUUACCAUAGUUUUGUUGCUUCUGCACAUAGGCUAUGAGACCUCGUGCCCCCCGCCUGUUUAUGUAAUACGUCGUUGUGACAUUGUCCGAAAAUAUCCUUAUGGUUUUGUUUUGUAUGUGUGGAAGCAGUAGGGAGCAUGUCCUCCUCACUGCUCUGAGUUCCAGCAUAUUAAUUUGAAGCCGGAACUCUUUGUGUGUCCAUUGUCCCUGUAAUAUCACACUCCCUAAGUGGGCUUCCUAUCCUAGCAGGGACGCAUCUGUCAUGAUAGUGACGGAUGGCAUCGGCAUCUGAAAUGGAAGUCCUAUACAGACGUUGUUUAAGUCUGUCCACCAAUCUAGGGUGGCUUUGACCCGGCUGGGCAUGUGGAGUGUCUUGUGGAAUGGAUUGUGACUGGAGUAUAGCCAUGCCUGAAAUGGCCUCAUAUGUAGACAGGCAUUUGAGACCACAAACGUGGACUCUGCCAUGUGUCUAAGUAUUUGAAGGCAUGUAUAUGCUGUGGUGUGCGCGCCACUCUGUAUGGACAGGAUCAAGUCACACAUUCUCGACCAUCUGUUGGUCGGCAGUGAGGCUUUUCCCUGAGUGCAGUCCAAUUGUGCCCUGAUAAACUUCAGUGACUGGGUAGGAGUGAGGGUGCACUUUUCCAAAUUCAGUAGGACCCCGAUCAUAUUGAAUAACACUCUUGUUGACUCCAGUGACUGUUCCGUGUCACCAUAGGUGGAUGCCAUGAUCAGACAAUCAUUGAGAUAUGGAAAUAUGUUUGUUUUUUUCACAGGUGUGCAGCUACCACAGAUAGAACUUUGGAAAAAAACUCUGGGGGCUGCUGACAACCCGAAGGGGAGCACCCUGUACUGAUAGUGCAGCUGUAUCCCUAGUGUGUGGAGCAUUGCCCUGGAGUCCUUCAAUGUGUAGACAACUGAGUUUGUUGCCUCUGCGAAGAGCUUCUCACCCUUGAAUGGGAGAUCCUCGAUGUUUGACUGAACCUUCCUGGGAAAUCCUAACAGCUGCAGCAAUGACAUCCAUCUCAUCACUACUGCAGAUGCCAUUGACCUGGCUGCUGUGUCUGAUGCAUCUAACCCAGCCUGCAGAGCUGUUUGGGAAAUCAAUGAACCUUCUCUGAUAUUUGAUUUGAAUUGCUCCCUCACGUCCUCUCGUAUGUAUUGAAUAAAGGAACUGAAUGAU